UCUCUUACAGGCAAUCGGUAAAUUGAUCUCCCUGUGCAAAAGCAGGGAUAAAACCAUAAGACGAGAAGACCCUGUGGAACUUUAAAACCAGCAGCCACCCCAAAACACAUACACCCCCACUGGGCUCACUGACACACUGGGAGCUUGGCCUGCGUUUUUCGGUUGGGGCGACCUUGGAGAAAAACAAAUCCUCCAAAAAUUAGACCAUACAUCUAGACUGAGAGCAACCCCUCAACGUGCUAAUAGCAACCAGACCCAAUAUAAUUGAUCAAUGGACCAAGCUACCCCAGGGAUAACAGCGCAAUCCCCUCCGAGAGUCCGUAUCGACGAGGGGGUUUACGACCUCGAUGUUGGAUCAGGACAUCCUGGUGGCUG
rnacentral:rRNA from 1 species